UUUGAUAUCCUGUUAGGUGCAGGGUUCAGGUUCAGGGUUCAGGCUUUGGCGGAGGCUGCACACAAAUGAAAGAGACUAGAAAAUGUUAAUUUGGAAAUAUUGGGGGACAGGCGGGAGCCCAACUCAAGGAGAAGGACUUCACCCCGCUCUGGCCUUGCUAUCCCUUUUACUAAGACUAUGGGAUACACCCAUCGCCUUUAGGCAGGCAAUUCCAAUAAUAGCCAGUCGGCAAAAACUUACA